AGGAAGUGGCCACAAUGUCCGAACUAUCACUCGUAUGAAGAGACUCAACGUAGACAGGUAUGUCUGUAACAGGAUUGGGCAGAUUAGAAUCAUUAUCAGCUAAAGGAAGGGGGCAUUAAGUUAUACCCUUGUCUGUCAAUUAUACCCAAAGUUAAUUCCUGUUCUUUUAACUUUAGUUUUUCUGUCAAGCAAAUGUUAUGAAACUCAUACUCAAUGUCUAUUAUCAUUAAACAAAUAUUCAAGUUCAAAUAUGGGUUGCAUAAUAUUCACCAAUCUUGACUUAAAUCUUAAAUUGAAAAACAGACAAAUUGCUGUUUAAUUACACAAUUUAACUUUACUUGACCUCAACCAAAUGUUAUGAAACUUAUACACAAUGAUUAUUACUACCAAAGACAGAUCAAGUUCAAAAUUUUGGGACAUCACAUUCAGUUUUCUAAUGUCAUGUUUCUAUAUAAAUGGAAAAAUUGCUAUAUUUUCUAUACCCACACUCUAACUUAAGUUUGCCUCAACCAAAUGUCAUGAAACUUAUUCACAAUGCUUUUUUUGGUGGUGACACUUGCAUUGUUCCCAAGUUAUUUACCUUUUUUUUAUAGAACAAUUGCUGAAUUUAUGACAUAUGUUUACAAGCAGACAUGGAAUCAACUGAUUGUAGAUCCAUUUUAGAUCUGUUAUCUUACAAAACUAAACCAUUUAAUGUUAUUUGCUCUUUGAUUGGGUUGUUGUCACUUUGACAUAUUCCCUAAUUCCAUUCUCAAUUUUACAUUCUUUAGUCAUCUAAGACUAUGAUGUCGUUACACUAAAUCUGUUUAAUGUGGAUAAUUGAUUUAUUAUAAGCAUUGAACAAGACAGGUUUUAAUUGCAAUGCAUGUGAAAUGGGCCUGACAUGUCUGAAGGAGAUCACAACAGGACUUAACCCAGCUAUUCUGUAUGUAUUUACCUGUCCUUAGUCAGGAGCCUGUAAUUUAGUGGUUGUUGUUUGUUUAUGUGUUAUAUAUUUGUUUUUCAUUCAUUUUUGUACAUGAAUAAAGCCGUUAGUUUUCUCGUUUGAAUUUUUUUACAUUGUCAUUUCAGGGCCUUUUUAGCUGACUAUGCGGUAUGGGCUUUGCUCAUUGUUGAAGGCCAUAUAUAUUUACCAAUAGUUGUUAAUUUUCUGUGUCAUUUUGGUCUCUUGUUGACAGUUGUCUCAUUGGCAAUCAUACCAAAUCUUCUUUUUUAUAUUAAGAAUAUUUUACAUUUGACAUGUAUUUUAAAUAGACAUGUUUGUUUGUUGAAGAUUUGUAUAUUACAAUUUUCAUGAAUUGUGUUUUGGUUGACCUCCUGUUUAGCUCAGAUUUAACAACAGUAACAUUUAAAUUUUGUUUAACAGAAACAAGAAGAUGAUAAAAAGAAGAGAAUUGAAGAUGAGCAGCAUAGAGAACAACAGACAAGGGAUGAACUGGUAAAUAUUGGAGUUAUUUGUUAUAAUUAUCAAUAUCAGAUACAUGUAUUUAGCCCAUUAAAAAUGUACAACUUUAUAAUUUUCACAUAGCCUGUCCAUCCAUUUAUGUUGAGAAAGUAUGAAAUAUGGAUUGAGAAAAACUUUUAUAUUGAGAGAUAAUUGAUUUCAUGUAUUUGCUUUUUGGGAAGUUUGCUAUAGCAAGCUAUAGCAAUACUUUCCUUGGGCGUCGGCGUCAACUUCUGAUGUGACAGACUUUCGCAAAUUACAUUUUCUCCAAGAUAAUGUAGUACUAGUGUUUGAAUACUAGUUCUAGUAAGAUGCUUUUGAAAUUGAGUUACUACUCUUUUGAAAAGAUUACAGCUUGAAUAAAAAAGGAAUGAAUUAAUGUUCACCGAUAAUUCAGAUGAAUUUAACUUUGAAAAUUAUAAAUCUUUUUCAAUAUGUCUGCGCUGAAGAGAAAAUAAAAAUAAAUCUACAUGAAACAGCAUUUCAUUCAUAAAUAUUUCAUGAAUGAACAUUUUACCUCGCUUUUAUUUACUCCGUACGAUUUUUAUGCCCCACCUACGAUAGUAGAAGGACAUUAUGUUUUCUGGUCUGUGGCUCCGUUCGUCUGUGUGUCCGUUCGUCCUUCUGUGCGUCCUUCUCGUCUGUCGUCCGUCCGUCAGGUUAAAGUUUUUGGUCAAGGUAGUUUUUGAUGAAGCUGAAGUCAAUCACUUGAAACUUUGUAGACUUGUUGCUUAUGAUAUAAUUUUUCUAAUUUAAAAGCAAUAGACUUUUGUCCCCAAUAUCACGGUCACUGAACAUAGAAAAUGAAAGUGGAGUUUCAGGUUAAAGUUUUGGUCAAGGUAGUUUUUGAUGAAGCUGAAGUCCAAUCAACUUGAAACUUAAUAAACUUGUUGCUUAUGAUAUAAUCUUUUUUUUUUGAAGCCAAAUUAGACUUUUGACCCAAUUUCACCGGUCCACUAAACAUAGAAAAUGAAAUGGAGUUUCAGGUUAAAGUUUUUUUGGUCAAGUAGUUUGAUAAAAUUGAGUCCAAUCAACUUGAAACUUAGUACAUAUGUUACCUAUAGUAUAAUCUUUCUAAUUUUAAUACCAAAUUAAAUUAUUACCCAAUUUCACGGUCCAUGAACAUGGAAAAGGAUAGUGAGAGUGGGGCAUCCAUAUACUUUGGACACAUUCUUGUUACAAAUAUUUAUUAUAAAACAAGUAAAAGCCUGAGAAUAUCAAAAGAAUCCGGUAUACAAGUACAACGUGUUUAUGUUUCGACCAUUAGCCGUCAGAUCAUUAUAUUUGACAAGUGAUAAUGGUUUGAUUGAUAUACAGGUGACUGAAUAUUUAAUACUGGAUAAUCAUAUGGCUUAAAUUAUGUCUCACGCCAAGGAUGAGUAAAGGUAAAUACCGGCUUUGGUAUAAAAAGUACAUUGUUUUUGUAAAAAGAUCGAUAGCCGGAUUGGAAGUUUUUGAUGCAAAAAAAAACCAUUGGAAAUCUUAUAAUUCCCUUAUUUAAAAACUAGCUGUUUCACAUUCCAAUGUGGAUAUCAAGACCUUCACUCGUUCAGCAUGCUCAAUUGGAUCAAGCAGAAAAACAUUGACUCAACGGCAAUUCAUAUCCAUAUGACAGCCUCCUCAGUGCAGACUUAACACCAAACUCCAAAUGUUCCACAAAGUGAUCAACAAUGAAAUUGCAAUAUCAUCGCAAGAAAUACUUAUAAAAGUCAGUCUAAAACAUGAUUUACCUAUAAACAUGAUAAACAAACAUACAGACAACUUAAAUGUAACAAAAACGAUUUUCUUAGUGCUUAACAAUACAGUGGCGGAUCCAGAACUUUUUAUCCUGACACUUUGUUUCUGUUGCAAAAUGACCUAUAAUUAACAAUGUGUCAUCCUAACACAGAGGCAAUGAUUACUAGUAUAUCACAUGAAUGAUUGAAAACCAAAAAUCUCAAAUGUAAUUGUCUCAAUGCUUAAUUUUACAGCAGGAAUUAAAAUCUGUUACAGGUUUAUAAGCUCCUUUUUGAAUCUAGUGUAUAUAUAAGCCAGGCGUUGUCAGUUAAUUUUCGAUUUAUGAGUUUGACUGUCCCUCUGGUAUCUUUCGUUCUUCUUUUAAGGUAGCAAUAGAAAAUAUCAAAUUUUAUAUGACAAUUAAACUUGCUGAAGAGACAAUGGUUUAGUUAAAAGACACCAAAGCUGUGAUAUUUGAAAUAAUACACGUCCAUAACCCAUUUGAAAUAAUACACAUCUUCAGUUGCAAACUUCCCUGAGGUGAUAUCCAGCACUUUGAUUACUUAAGCUUUGAGAAUUUGUGUAUUUCAUCAAACAUUUAGAUACAUGGGUUACCUUUACCAAAGAAAUCAAUCCAAAUAAUUACACAGAGGAAGAAUUUGUUAGAUAUUGUCCCAAAGAGGUAGAAUUUGUUAGAUAUUGUCCCAAAGAGGAAGUUAUGCUGAAGUGAACAGACUUUAAGGAAAUGAUUUACGCAUACUUAUGAUUCUCUACCUGCUGUAUGUCAGUUGAAUGGUUUACGCAUACUUAUGAUUCUCUACCUGCUGUAUGUCAGUUGUAUGGUUUACGCAUACUUAUGAUUCUCUACCUGCUGUAUGUCAGUUGUAUGGUUUAUUAUACUUAUGAUUCUCUACCUGCUGUAUGUCAGUUGUAUGGUUUACGCAUACUUAUGAUUCUCUACCUGCUGUAUGUCAGUUGUAUGGUUUACAGGACUUGAAAGAGUUUGAUUGAGCUCUAUUUAAAAUACUUCUGCAAUAAGAAGAGAGGAAUUAAUAAAAUUAAAGAAUUUAAAAUUGCUCACCCAAACAGUUUAAUUUCUGCCUUAUUGUAAACAAUAGAGCUUCUUAUAUACCAACUCUUAUAUAUUAAAAUGAUAAGUUCUUUUAAAAUAUCAUUGCACAUUUCAUUAAAAAUAUAAAAUAUAAUGUGUGAAAGGGGGCCUAGGUGGCAGAGGGGUUUAAGUACGUAGUUCACCUACACUAAUUACUAGCCUGUCAAACCAGGGUUGCGUUCAAUAUCGUAGCGGCUACAUAGGGCUACGAAGAUUUAUGACUAUUGAACGUGAAGCUAGCUAGUCUAUCUGCUUCAUAGAUAUUGAUAGCCGCUAUUCUAGCUACUCGUUCAAUAGUCAUAAAUCUAUGUAGCAACCCUUGAUAUGAAUUCAAACCCUGGAAGCAGGUGUGAUUAACCCCCAUCAUAAUUAUAGUUACGUUAUAGUUCACAUUAUAGUUCCUUAACGUGAUAGUUCCUAAACGUGAUAGUUCCUUAACGUGAUAGUUCCUUAACGUGAUAGUUCCUAAACGUGAUAGUUCCUAAACGUGAUAGUUCCUUAACGUGAUAGUUCCUUAACGUGAUAGUUCCUUAACGUGAUAGUUCCUAAAUGUGAUAGUUCCUUAACGUGAUAGUUCCUUAACGUGAUAGUUCCUUAACGUGAUAGUUCCUUAACGUGAUAGUUCCUUAACGUGAUAGUUCCUAAACGUGAUAGUUCCUUAACGUGAUAGUUCCUAAACGUGUGAUAGUUCCUUAACGUGAAGUUCCUAAACGUGAUAGUUCCUUAACGUGAUAGUUCCUAAACGUGAUAGUUCCGUGAUAGUUCCUUAACGUGAUAGUUCCUUAGAGUGAUAGUUCCUUAACGUAAUUCCUUAACGUAGUCCUUAACGUGAUAGUUCCUUAACGUGAUAGUUCCUUAACGUGAUAGUUCCUUAACGUGAUAGUUCCUUAACGUGAUAGUUCCUUAACGUGAAAGUUCCUAAACGUGAUAGUUCCUUAACGUGAUAGUUCCUUAACGUGAAGUUUCCUAAACGUGAUAGUUCCUUAACGUGAUAGUUCCUUUAACGUGAUAGUUCCUUAACGUGGUGAUAGUUCCUUAACGUGAUAGUUCCUUAACGUGAUAGUUCCUUAACGUGAUAGUUCUAAACGUGAUAGUUCCUAAACGUGAUAGUUCCUAAACGUGAUAGUUCCUUAACGUGAUAGUUCCUUAGCGUGCAGUUUCUACGUGAUAGUUCCUUAACGUGAUAGUUCCUUAGAGUGAUAGUUCCUUAACGUGCUAAUUCCUUAACGUGAUAGUUCCUUAACGUGAUAGUUCCUUAACGUGAUAGUUCCUUAACGUGAUAGUUCCUUAACGUGAUAGUUCCUAAACGUGAUAGUUCCUAAACGUGAUAGUUCCUUAACGUGAAAGUUCCUAAACGUGAUAGUUCCUUAACGUGAUAGUUCUUAACGUGAAGUUCCUAAACGUGAUAGUUCCUUGAUAGUUAGUUCCUUAACGUGAAAGUUCCUAAACGUGAUAGUUCCUUAACGUGAUAGUUCCUUAACGUGAUAGUUCCUAAACGUGAUAGUUCCUAAACGUGAUAGUUCCUUAACAUGAUAGUUCCUUAACGUGAUAGUUCCUUAGCGUGCUAGUUCCUUAACGUGCUAAUUCCUUAACGUGAUAGUUCAUGAAGGUUACUAUUGCUUCCUCCCCAAUAAAAAAUAGCCGUCAUGUUAAAGCCAUAAGUGGUGUUAAACAUCACUAAUUACAUAUUGUGUGAGUAAAAGUUCUUAGUUGUACCUACUCAUAUAGUCUGUUAAAACUUCACAAGUAUACAUUGUGCACACUGCAGAUUCCUUUAUUUUUUAUGAGUACCUAUUUUUGUUGAUUGAAAAAAACUUUCAUUUUGUGCCAUUAAUAAAGUCAUGCACUCCUAUGGAAAAUAUUAGAUUUUUUUUUAACAUUUAGAAACGUGGUUCCACUGUAGGCACUAUAGCCAUAAACAUUAAUAUCCUACGAAUAAUGAAUCUAAAGUAAUCUAAUUUUAUUUCAGGAGAGACAUAAGACGACCUUGACAUUAAUAGCAGCUCAAAUUGAACAAGAGAAAGAUGGAUUAGAUCGAACAAUUAAGAAAAUGACAAAGAAAGGGAAAAAAAGAAAGUAAUAGUAUGGUCAAUGACUUUUAUGUGCCAAAAUGUUUUAGUAUUUCUGUAUUGAAAAUUUUGUUAUGUAUGAAAUGAAUAUAAUUAUUAAAAUACAGUGGAAAAGACCACAUUGGGA
rnacentral:lncRNA from 1 species